AUACAUGCAAGUCGAACGCUUCUUUCCUCCCGAGUGCUUGCACUCAAUUGGAAAGAGGAGUGGCGGACGGGUGAGUAACACGUGGGUAACCUACCCAUCAGAGGGGGAUAACACUUGGAAACAGGUGCUAAUACCGCAUAACAGUUUAUGCCGCAUGGCAUAAGAGUGAAAGGCGCUUUCGGGUGUCGCUGAUGGAUGGACCCGCGGUGCAUUAGCUAGUUGGUGAGGUAACGGCUCACCAAGGCCACGAUGCAUAGCCGACCUGAGAGGGUGAUCGGCCACACUGGGACUGAGACACGGCCCAGACUCCUACGGGAGGCAGCAGUAGGGAAUCUUCGGCAAUGGACGAAAGUCUGACCGAGCAACGCCGCGUGAGUGAAGAAGGUUUUCGGAUCGUAAAACUCUGUUGUUAGAGAAGAACAAGGACGUUAGUAACUGAACGUCCCCUGACGGUAUCUAACCAGAAAGCCACGGCUAACUACGUGCCAGCAGCCGCGGUAAUACGUAGGUGGCAAGCGUUGUCCGGAUUUAUUGGGCGUAAAGCGAGCGCAGGCGGUUUCUUAAGUCUGAUGUGAAAGCCCCCGGCUCAACCGGGGAGGGUCAUUGGAAACUGGGAGACUUGAGUGCAGAAGAGGAGAGUGGAAUUCCAUGUGUAGCGGUGAAAUGCGUAGAUAUAUGGAGGAACACCAGUGGCGAAGGCGGCUCUCUGGUCU
rnacentral:rRNA from 1 species